rnacentral:rRNA from 1 species
UGGUGGAGUGAUUUGUCUGGUUAAUUCCGUUAACGAACGAGACCCCUGCCUGCUAAAUAGUGGCGCUAGUGAUUUUCACUGGCGAUUCGCUUCUUAGAGGGACGUGCGUUCUAUUAGACGCAGGAAGAUAGGGGCAAUAACA